UGCUCCAUCAGACUUUCGUCCAUUGUGGAAGAUUUCCUACGGGGGGCAGCAGUAGGGAAUCUUCCACAAUGGACGAAAGUCUGAUGGAGCAACGCCGCGUGAGCGAUGAAGGCCUUCGGGUCGUAAAGCUCUGUUGUUAGGGAAGAACAAGUACCGGAGUAACUGCCGGUACCUUGACGGUACCUAACCAGAAAGCCACGGCUAACUACGUGCCAGCAGCCGCGGUAAUACGUAGGUGGCAAGCGUUGUCCGGAAUUAUUGGGCGUAAAGCGCGCGCAGGCGGUCCUUUAAGUCUGAUGUGAAAGCCCACGGCUCAACCGUGGAGGGUCAUUGGAAACUGGGGGACUUGAGUGCAGAAGAGGAAAGCGGAAUUCCACGUGUAGCGGUGAAAUGCGUAGAGAUGUGGAGGAACACCAGUGGCGAAGGCGGCUUUCUGGUCUGUAACUGACGCUGAGGCGCGAAAG
rnacentral:rRNA from 1 species